ACAGACAUUUUUCCAUGUAAAUUGGGCAUCAAGAAGCCAUGAAAGCAGAUGUUCUUUCCAUUGGCUUUCUCGUUAGCAAAUUCACUGUCUGACCUAAGUCUUCAGACCUUAAUAUUAACCUGAAAUUGGUUCUCAGAGGGAGAGAGUUAGCCGAUGGGAAGAUCUGUCACCUGUCCUUUGCCAACCUCAUUACGUCGGGCGUCGCUCGGUCGCUGCUCUCCACCUCUCCAGCGAACCGAUAUUCGCCACCACCAUCCUUUCACAUUUCAUUCCUACCACCACCACCCUCUCUUCCACACCACCAUUAUCCCUGGCUCCUCUCUCCGCCGUGCCGUCCGCCAGUUUCUUCUCUGUUUCUCCGCACGUUUGCUUAAUCAACGCCGCCUGGUUGCAAAAGAUUUUACGUUCAUAGUCCUGUUUCUUGCUUGUUCCAAUUCACUUGGGCUUAUGUAAGGCCAACAAAUUACAUGCAACCAUCAACACGUCUGGGCUUCCCUGACGUCUUCGUAUGCAGUUCAGCUUGUGAGUUGUACGAGUUAGUGCGCAGAAAUUGAAAAAAGGAACUCUGGAGCGGGACAUUGUUAGACUUGGUUGGAACACUAUGAUUCGUUAGUACAUUGACAAUGGGACUAUUGGUUGAUGCAAGAAGCCUUCUUCAUGCAAAUGCCGGACAGAAAUAUUGAUUCAUGGGAUUGUUUAAUCAGCAGUUACGUGAAAUGUAUAUAGCUGGGACUUGCCAGACAGCUGUUCGAUGGAAUGCCUCGGAGAAAUGAAACUUCUUGGCUGCGUAUGACUGCAGGAUAUUCUCGCGGUGGAAAGCCUAAGGAAGCAUUGAUGCUAUUUUUGCUUGUUCUCAACUCGGUUCCUUGAAUCAGAGCUGUGGAUUCACGCUUACAUCCGAGGGAACAUCGGACUCGGUUGUCAGUUCAGCUCUGGUUGAUACAUACUGGAGGUGUGAUCCAUUAAGCAGGCAACGCAAGUUUUUGUGACGCUUCAGACAAAGACCUGUAUGCAUAUGUAGCAUCCACUCGUGCCCAGCUAUGCGUGGGUUUGGAGGUCACAGUAUGGAUGUUUAUGCAGAUGGAAGAGAAUGGCAUUGCUCCAGAUAAGGUCCCCUACAUUGCAGUCUUCCAUGGCUGUGCUUAUUCAGGGUUAAUCGAAAAAGCUUUAAAAUUGUUCUAUUCUAUGACCAACAUGCACAAUAUGGUGCCAGAUUGAGUACCAUGCAUGCAUGGUCGAUAUUCUUGGUCCAGCAGGAAACAUAGAAGAAGCCGACAAGCUUAUACUGUCCUUGCCCCCUAGAGCCUGAUCCCGCUAUAAGAGGUGCUCUUCUUAGUGCAUGUCGUACUCUUGGAAAUGCCGAAAUGGGAGAGAAAAUUGUCACAUGAUGAGAGCUCUGAUCGUAGCCUGAUUGAGGUGAAUGCAAUUUGUCUGUGAGUUCAUAUCUGGCGAUUCAAAUGGAGCACAUAUAUGAAAUGUGCGAAGAAAUUUCUGGACAAAUAAAGCUUGCUGGUUGUGUGGCUGAUACAAAAGGGCCAGUCUUUGAUUUGGAGGAGGAAGAGAAAGAGGUUAUUGUCGAGCAUCACAGUGAGAAGUUGGCUACUGCUUUUGGGUUCACCGGCACUGCUCCUAUAACUCUACAAUACGUAUGAUGAACAUCAGGGUAUGCUAUGAUUAACAUCUAUGAUAGCAAAAUUUCAAUUAGAGAUCGGAUUCGUUUCCACCAUUUCUUUGAAGGGGGAUAUAUUCAUGCGUGGAUGAUUCACCAUUUCUUUGAAGGGGAAUGUAUUCAUGCGUGGAUGCUUGGUAAGUUCAGUGAACAUCAUCGGAGAAGCUUUCUUGGAUAGCUUUCCUGUUCUGCAGAGGUUUGAAGAAGAAAAGCUUUCGACCCAGUGACACCAAGAGGCAGCUGAAAUCCUGAGAUUUUUCCCUUCACCUGGCCGCAAGAUGACUUAGCCCGCGCCAAUUCCUCUUGCCGUACAGCCCUUUGUACUUAUCCAAAUUUCGAGGUUUAAUAGCCACUCGGUAAACCGUAGCCUAAUGAGGUAGCUUUCUUGUUAAAGAUUUUCCCAUAAUGAAGUCGAGGUGGACCUGCUGGUGCUGUGCCUGCGUUAACAUGCCAUAAAUGUUCAACAGGGAGGUAAGUGCUUCUUGAGAAUGUGGAAUUUGUUUGUCAUUAUUGUUAUGCCCGCCUUGGGGAUGACGUAUCCUCAUGCAUGACCCAACAGCCAGCAAAUAGUUGGAUAUAAGAUUUCUUGCCCAUAUAUAAUUCAGACAAGCUAGUUGACUUAUGAAUUCUCCAGGUGAAUUGCUUUUCGAACACCAGAUUUUGUGAAAGGCUCUCUUCCACCUCCCAAUUAAUGAUCAGUUUAUCGUGACAAUUCUGUUACAAUCACUUCUUUGGGUCUUCCUUAAAGCUAGGAAAAAGGUAUAUAUGGCAAAAUCAGAUAACCAGUUAUUCAUAUGGGGCUUGGGCUCAAGAAACUUCAGUUUGUUUUUGUUGGUAUUGGAGGCUUAAAUGGACUUUACAGAUUUGGGAUUCCUGCAAUCUGAAGGUCGAGGUAGAUGAUGUAGCAUUGUCAAUAACGCCAAUUCUAGCUCCUAAUAAAGGCACUAAUGCUGCACACAAGGUCCUCCAGCGUUGGUACUUAUUAUAGAUUUGGUGUAGCUUGGUGAUUGCAUUAGCAUGGUACUUAUGAAUGAUGUACUUGAAGCAAAAGGCUAAAAUUUAGUCGUUGUAAAAAUCAACAUGAGCGAGUAUGGACCCAAAUCUAUAUGCGAGUAGUUCAUCAAAUUUGUCAGCUCCAACCUUGGGAUCAUUACUCUUACGACAAGUAAAUAUGCAGCCUUCGUCUGAAAGGAACGGUGCUCUUCAGCAAAUAACCCUUGAUUGAACAAGAAGAUUCGCCCUACAGCCAAUCCAUCUAGCUUCAUAUCAUCACUAGAUGAUUCAAGCGUGCGUCUCCUUUUCUGUAUAAAUGUGAAUCUAUCGAUGAGGCUAUUUGCUCUGGGAAUUCCUCUUUCUUA